UUUUUUCAAUAUUCCAAAUACGGAGGAAAAGAAACCAACAGGGAUUGCCUCAGUAGCGGCGAGUGAAGCGGCAAGAGCUCAGAUUUGAAAUCUCACCUAGUGUGCGAGUUGUAAAUUGCAGGUUGGAGUCUCGGGUUAGACGUGUGUGCAAGUCCCUUGGAACAGGGUGCCACUGAGGGUGAGAGCCCCGUAUCGUGCAUGUCGACACCUGUGAGGCCCUUCUGACGAGUCGAGUUGUUUGGGAAUGCAGCUCUAAGUGGGUGGUAAAUUCCAUCUAAGGCUAAAUAUUGGCGAGAGACCGAUAGCGAACAAGUACUGUGAAGGAAAGAUGAAAAGCACUUUGAAAAGAGAGUGAAACAGCACGUGAAAUUGUUGAAAGGGAAGGGUAUUGGGCUCGACAUGGGAUUUACGCAUCGUUGCCUCUCGUGGGCGGCGCUCUGGGUUUUUCCUGGGCCAGCAUCGGUUUUCGUUGCAGGAUAAGGACAAUUGGAAUGUGGCUCCUCGGAGUGUUAUAGCCUUUUGUAGAUGCUGCGUAUGGGGACCGAGGGCUGCGGCGGACUCGUUUCGUCUCGGAUGCUGGCACAACGGCGCAAUACCGCCCGUCUUAAAAACCCGGACCCAA
rnacentral:rRNA from 1 species